UUUUUUGAGGAUCACUUAGAACCUCAUAAGCCUCAGAGAUCUGCUUGAAUUUAGCCUCAGCUUCUUUCUUGUUAUUUGGGUUCUUAUCUGGGUGCCACUUCAUGGCAAGCUUUCUAUAAGCUUUCUUCAAAUCUUCAUCUUUAGCGUUCUUGUCGACCUGCAAUAUCUUGUAGUAAUCAACACCCAUAUCGAAUUUCUCUUCUUCCUCGCUCUGUGUUGCUUGCUGCUGUCUUCUGCUGAAAAUUGAAGGGGUGGCACCCAAUAACCUAUAAAUUACCAGCUAUAUGGUUGGGGGGUUUGGAUUACUGGUGUGGUUGGCUGUGAUGGCGGGAUGUUAGCUUUUGAUGUCCAAUUGAUUGGUGUAGCUAUAUAGGAGGCUCAAUAAGAAGAGGAAAGAAGGAGAAGGAUUUAUCUCGAACAUCUUAG
rnacentral:misc_RNA from 1 species